rnacentral:lncRNA from 1 species
CCAGGCCCGCCGCCUGCCUUGCAGCAAGUCUGUGGGCAUCUGCUGUUUUAUACAUCCACGUGCUCUCUGACUUGUGGUUUGCGGGGAGCUUGUGACUGUUUGCUCUCUUUUGUAGAACCAUCAUCUUCAUCUACCGCUGUGACAACCUACGACUAACUGGGAGGCUUAUAAAUAGAAGUUUAUUUCUUGCAAUUAUGUUACAAAGCUGCAAAGUCCAAGAUCAAGACUGCAGCAGACUCAGAGACUGGGUGGGACCUGCUUCCUGGGUCACAUAGAGCAGUUUCCUCUGUGUAUCCACAGGUGGCUGACUGGGGCCACACCCUGAGCAUAGAGAAGUUCCCCAUCCAGGGGCUGGAUCAGAGCUGCAGCCGCCAGCCUACGCCACAGUCACAGCAAUGCGGGAUCUGAGCUGUGUCUUCGACCUACGCCACAGUCAUAGCAACACUGGAUCCUCAACCCACUGAGCGGGGCCGGGGAUCAAACCCACAUCCUCAUGGAUACCAGAUGGUGACCAAAAAUCAACCCUGGCUCUAAGAGUGUGACCCACAAAGCAGCAGGUAACCAUUGAGAUCAGUGGCAUCUCAGGCAGGAGGGGAGCCUAAGGGUGGGUGCCGCCAGAAGCGGAUCUUGGGACCUCAGAGAGUGCAGGUGAUUUACCCAGGAGGCAUCCUGGAAGCACUCGCUUGGGCAUCUGAGAGGCAGGGAUUUCCAAGGCUGCCAGUAAAAGGUGAAGAAUGACCUCCCUGGGAGGUGAAGCGGAAAGCCUUGGGACACUGCCGCGGGAGACAGCGUGGAGCUUGUGCUCCGAGCUGCACCUCCCCGACCCGCAGCAGGGCAGGUGAGCUGGGGGACUAAUGCGCCCAACCUCAGUGCUCACUGGCUGAGAACGGCCCCUGGGGGCUUCCUGUCUGUUGGGUGUUCAAGAGAAAGCCCUCUGGCCAUGGGACACGACACUGGCGGUUGGAAGCCGGCGGUCUGUUUGGCAGUGGUGAGAUGAGAGGGGACACAGGUGCAGCACCAGCUGCGUCAGCUACAGAACCCUGCCCAUCUUGCGGGAAGGACACGUGCGUGGCCAUGAAGCUGGGACCUCAGAGAGACAUGAGCUGGGGGCGAGGGUCCAGCUCGGUCCUGCCCUGUCUGUGGCUUGGUCACCACACAGCUGUCCUCUGCUGGGAAAUCGGCCCCACGCCGGCCAGGACACCUCAGCUCUCCCCUUCCAGCACCAGCUCCCACGGCCACCUGCUCGGAGCCUGCACUGGAACGUGGUCCUGGGUGGUGGCCAUGGGGACAGUGUCCCCAGCAGGGAACGAUGGCUUCUCCAGCUCCCUCCCGAGAGUGUGUCUGAGAAAUGGGAGCCCCUCUGCACCCCAACGAUUCCCUAAGUCUGGGCUGCACUCCGGGGACCAAUCUUCCUGCUCUGUCAAAGGGCUUCUCUGCCCCCUUCAAGGCAGGCGCGCCCUGGGUUGGGAGGCUGGAACCCGCACUCCUGACCCCCUCCUCUGUCACCCCCACUGGAAUGAGCACUUCGGGGCUCGGACUAGAAGGAAGGGGAUUCUGCCGAGGGGACCAGCCCAGGGGCCCGCACGGAGCGCUAACAACGAAGGGCGCCACGUGCAACACUGAUGCGCUGACGAGACCAUUUGUCCCCCAUGGGGCGUGGGCACCCCGAGGGGCUAAAAAUAGUUCUGGGAGGAGGGCAUGAAAAAAAUCUCAGCUGUUAAUAGUGAUUUGUGUCCAUUCAAAGCUCAAAGCGAGCUGCUACCCACCAAAA